GACGUAGGGCGCGAGCGUUGUUCGGAAUUACUGGGCGUAAAGGGCUCGUAGGCGGCCAACUAAGUCCGACGUGAAAUCCCCAGGCUUAACCUGGGAACUGCGUCGGAUACUGGAUGGCUUGAAUUCGGGAGAGGGAUGCAGAAUUCCAGGUGUAGCGGUGAAAUGCGUAGAUAUGUGGAGGAAUACCGGUGGCGAAGGCGGCAUCCUGGACCAUUACUGACGCUGAGGCGCGAAAGCUAGGGGAGCAAACGGG
rnacentral:rRNA from 1 species